UACGUAGGGAGCAAGCGUUGUUCGGAUUUACUGGGCGUAAAGGGCGCGUAGGCGGCGCGGUAAGUCACUUGUGAAAUCUCUGAGCUUAACUCAGAACGGCCAAGUGAUACUGCAGUGCUAGAGUGCAGAAGGGGCAAUCGGAAUUCUUGGUGUAGCGGUGAAAUGCGUAGAUAUCAAGAGGAACACCUGAGGUGAAGACGGGUUGCUAGGCUGACACUGGACCGCUGAGGCGCGAAAGCCAGGGAGCAAACGGG
rnacentral:rRNA from 1 species